rnacentral:rRNA from 1 species
AACGAACGCUGGCGGCAGGCUUAACACAUGCAAGUCGAACGGCAGCACGGACUUCGGUCUGGUGGCGAGUGGCGAACGGGUGAGUAAUACAUUGGAACGUACCCAGUAAUGGGGGAUAACUAUCCGAAAGGAUAGCUGAUACCGCAUACGCCCUACGGGGGAAAGAGGGGGAUCGCAAGACCUCUUGUUAUUGGAGCGGCCGAUGGCUGAUUAGCUAGUUGGUAGGGUAAAGGCCUACCAAGGCAACGAUCAGUAGCGGGUCUUAGAGGACGAUCCGCCAAACUGGAACUGAGACACGGUCCAGACUCCUACGGGGGGCAGCAGUGGGAAUCUUGGACAAUGGGCGCAAGCCUGAUCCAGCAAUGCCGCGUGCGUGAAGAAGGCCUUCGGGUUGUAAAGCGCUUUUGUCAGGGAGCAAAUCCUUGUGGCUAAUACCCACCGGGGAUGAGAGUACCUGAAGAAUAAGGACCGGCUAACUACGUGCCAGCCGCCGCCGUAACAC